rnacentral:rRNA from 1 species
CGGAAGGUCCGGGCGUUAUCCGGAUUUAUUGGGUUUAAAGGGAGCGUAGGCCGGAGAUUAAGCGUGUUGUGAAAUGUAGACGCUCAACGUCUGCACUGCAGCGCGAACUGGUUUCCUUGAGUACGCACAAAGUGGGCGGAAUUCGUGGUGUAGCGGUGAAAUGCUUAGAUAUCACGAAGAACUCCGAUUGCGAAGGCAGCUCACUGGAGCGCAACUGACGCUGAAGCUCGAAAGUGCGGUAGUCGA